rnacentral:misc_RNA from 1 species
AGUCGUAACAAGGUCUCCGUUGGUGAACCAGCGGAGGGAUCAUUACCGAGUUUACAACUCCCAAACCCCUGUGAACAUACCAAUUGUUGCCUCGGCGGAUCAGCCCGCUCCCGGUAAAACGGGACGGCCCGCCAGAGGACCCCUAAACUCUGUUUCUAUAUGUAACUUCUGAGUAAAACCAUAAAUAAAUCAAAACUUUCAACAACGGAUCUCUUGGUUCUGGCAUCGAUGAAGAACGCAGCAAAAUGCGAUAAGUAAUGUGAAUUGCAGAAUUCAGUGAAUCAUCGAAUCUUUGAACGCACAUUGCGCCCGCCAGUAUUCUGGCGGGCAUGCCUGUUCGAGCGUCAUUUCAACCCUCAAGCCCAGCUUGGUGUUGGGACUCGCGAGUCAAAUCGCGUUCCCCAAAUUGAUUGGCGGUCACGUCGAGCUUCCAUAGCGUAGUAGUAAAACCCUCGUUACUGGUAAUCGUCGCGGCCACGCCGUUAAACCCCAACUUCUGAAUGUUGACCUCGGAUCAGGUAGGAAUACCCGCUGAACCUAAGCAUAUCAAUA